CCUACGGGAGGCAGCAGUGGGGAAUAUUGCACAAUGGGGGAAACCCUGAUGCAGCGACGCCGCGUGAGUGAAGAAGUAUUUCGGUAUGUAAAGCUCUAUCAGCAGGGAAGAAGAAAGACGGUACUUGACCAAGACGCCCCGGCUAACUACGUGCCAGCAGCCGCGGGAAUACGCAGGGGGCAAGCGUUAUCCGGAUUUACUGGGCGUAAAGGGAGCGUAGACGGCUGUGCAAGUCUGAAGUGAAAGCCCAGGGCUCAACCCUGGGACUGCUUUGGAAACUGGGGGGCUAGAGUGCGGGAGAGGUAAGUGGAAUUCCUGGUGUAGCGGUGAAAUGCGUAGAUAUUAGGAGGAACACCAGUGGCGAAGGCAGCUUACUGGACAGUAACUGACGUUGAGGCUCGAAAGCGUGGGGAGCAAACAGGAUUAGAUACCCUAGUAGUC
rnacentral:rRNA from 1 species